GCCCUUGUAGCUCAGUGGAUAGAGCAUCGGUUUCCUAAACCGAGUGUCGGAUGUUCGAUUCAUCCCAAGGGCA
rnacentral:tRNA from 1 species